GACGAACGCUGGCGGCGUGGAUUAGGCAUGCAAGUCGAACGGUAUCAUCCUUUCGGGGGUGAGAGAGUGGCGAACUGGUGAGUAACACGUAGGUUAUCUACCCUCAAGACGGGGACAACCCAGGGAAACUUGGGCUAAUACCGGAUGUGAGCUAUCGCGAGAUAGUUUGAAAGGUGGCUUCGGCUGCCGCUUGAGGAUGAGCCUGCGUCCUAUUAGCUAGUUGGUGAGGUAACGGCUCACCGAGGCAGUGAUAGGUAGGCGGCCUUAACGGGUGGUCGCCCACACUGGGAUUGAGAUACGGCCCAGACUCCUACGGGAGGCAGCAGUCGAGAAUAGUCUACAAUGGUCGGAAGACUGAUAGUGCGACGCCGCGUGAACGAUGAAUCCCUUCGGGGUGUAAAGUUCUUUUAUAUGUGAGCAGUGCUUCUUAUAUUAAGAGUAUGGGGAGAGAGAUAUUAGCAUAUGAAUAAGCAACGGCUAACUCCGUGCCAGCA
rnacentral:rRNA from 1 species